rnacentral:rRNA from 1 species
CCUACGGGAGGCAGCAGUGGGGAAUCUUGGACAAUGGGCGCAAGCCUGAUCCAGCCAUGCCGCGUGAGUGAAGAAGGCCUUCGGGUUGUAAAGCUCUUUUGUCAGGGACGAUAAUGACGGUACCUGAAGAAUAAGCCCCGGCAAACUUCGUGCCAGCAGCCGCGGUAAUACGAAGGGGGCUAGCGUUGUUCGGAUUUACUGGGCGUAAAGCGUACGUAGGCGGAUUGUUAAGUGAGAGGUGAAAUCCCAGGGCUCAACCCUGGAACUGCCUUUCAUACUGGCAAUCUCGAGUUCGGAAGAGGUGAGUGGAAUUCCUAGUGUAGAGGUGAAAUUCGUAGAUAUUAGGAAGAACACCGGUGGCGAAGGCGGCUCACUGGUCCGAUACUGACGCUGAGGUACGAAAGCGUGGGGAGCAAACAGGAUUAGAUACCCUGGUAGUCCACGCCGUAAACUAUGGGUGCUAGCCGUUGGAAAGCUUGCUUUUCAGUGGCGCAGCUACGCAUAAGUACGACCCGCCGUCGGGUAGGUACGGUCGCGAAGAAUUAAACUAACAAAUAAUAGUACGCGUGAGAGACGCGACGACGACGACGACGGAGGAG